GGGAAGGAGAGAAGGGGGGAAGGGAAAGGGAACUAUAGGUUUUUCCGGGAAAGUAUGCCUGUUUGAGGGUCAGCCUAAAAAAAAUCGACAUUGUUGCUGUUAUUUAACGGUGACUUUCGUCGGAGAUUGGGUUAUCUUAAACCUUUUUUUUUUGGUUUAAGCGACUUAAAAUUUUUCUUCACGAUUCCAUGAACGUUUCUAAGAUUUUUAUUUCUUAUACGUUUAAGGUUUAUGCAUCUUUUAUUAGACGUGACCGUCGCAUUGGACGACGUCCAUAAUGUU
rnacentral:misc_RNA from 1 species